GACGAACGCUGGCGGCGUGCUUAACACAUGCAAGUCGAACGGUAAGGCUCCUGCUUGCUGGGGUACACGAGUGGCGAACGGGUGAGUAACACGUGGGUGACCUGCCCUGCACUUCGGGAUAAGCCUGGGAAACUGGGUCUAAUACCGGAUAGGACCAUGGUGUGGAUACUGUGGUGGAAAGUUUUUUCGGUGUGGGAUGGGCCCGCGGCCUAUCAGCUUGUUGGUGGGGUAAUGGCCUACCAAGGCGGCGACGGGUAGCCGGCCUGAGAGGGUGGACGGCCACAUUGGGACUGAGACACGGCCCAGACUCCUACGGGAGGCAGCAGUGGGGAAUAUUGCACAAUGGGCGGAAGCCUGAUGCAGCGACGCCGCGUGGGGGAUGACGGCCUUCGGGUUGUAAACUCCUUUCACCAUCGACGAAGGGUUUCUGACGGUAGAUGGAGAAGAAGCACCGGCUAACUACGUG
rnacentral:rRNA from 1 species